UACGUAGGGGGCAAGCGUUGUCCGGAUUUAUUGGGCGUAAAGAGCGUGUAGGCGGUUAUACAGGUCCGCUGUGAAAACUGGAGGCUUAACCUCCAGACGUCGGUGGAAACCGUAUAACUAGAGUCCGGAAGAGGAGAGUGGAAUUCCUGGUGUAGCGGUGAAAUGCGCAGAUAUCAGGAAGAACACCCGUGGCGAAGGCGGCUCACUGGACCACAACUGACGCUGAGGCGCGAAAGCUAGGGGAGCAAACAGG
rnacentral:rRNA from 1 species